rnacentral:lncRNA from 1 species
AUUGAAAAUUUUACCACAUAAAUUAACUCGUAUAACUGACCAAAAUUUAUAAUUAUUUUCUGUAAGAAGAAAAUAUAAUCAUCAAACUUAAAAAGCUUACUUGGAAUUAGUCUGGCCCACGAGAUUGAAAAUCUGAAAGCGUCCAUGUUUAGCUCCUUCAUCAAUUUUAUGUCAUCCUGUUUUUGUUUGUUUAUGUCAUAUAAAAAACAAUAUUUUUAACCAAAGCAAAAACGAUAACUAUAUACGGGUCUAGGUACAACGUACGAACUUUUGAGAAAGUAAAUUGACUUAUCUUGAACUUUAAUUUCAUUUUGGCUACUGAUUACCAACUUUAGAAAAACAUUAAGUUAAAAAUCUAAGCUAUUAUUAUUCAAUCAACCAAGCAUGUCCUUGUAUACAAGUUUAGGAGAUGUGAAUCCUAAAUACAAGAAGCUAGAUCUAUCUAAACAACUAGAUAUGCCUUAUCACAAUAUACAAUAUAUCGAUCUUAUCUUUAGUUAAAGAUGUAAAAUAUUUGAUUUGAUUCACAUGAUUUGAUAGUUUGAUUUAGUUUUAGUUUUAGAUGACAAGAUUGACUAUUAUAGUCUAAAGAAAAAGAGGAGAUUGAUUAGAGAUAGUACCUUAUAACGGUGAUAAAAAUCAAUCGCUACAUCUGCAUUAUGCAUCUUCGUCCGUUCUGCAGCAAAAGAUUUUAGUUU